UCUCCGUUGGUGAACCAGCGGAGGGAUCAUUACCGAGUUUACAACUCCCAAACCCAAUGUGAACCAUACCAAACUGUUGCCUCGGCGGGGUCACGCCCCGGGUGCGUCGCAGCGCCGGAACCAGGCGCCCGCCGGAGGGACCAACCAAACUCUUUCUGUAGUCCCCUCGCGGACGUUAUUUUUACAGCUCUGAGCAAAAAUUCAAAAUGAAUCAAAACUUUCAACAACGGAUCUCUUGGUUCUG
rnacentral:misc_RNA from 1 species